AAGUUUAGUCUGGGAAAGAAAAAUUUUGAAAAUUUUUUAAAAGUGUUCAAUUCACUUAUAAACUUA
rnacentral:tRNA from 1 species